rnacentral:rRNA from 1 species
GACGAACGCUGGCGGCGUGCUUAACACAUGCAAGUCGAACGGAAAGGCCCUGCUUUUGUGGGGCGCUCGAGUGGCGAACGGGUGAGUAACACGUGAGUAACCUGCCCUUGACUUUGGGAUAACUUCAGGAAACUGGGGCUAAUACCGGAUAGGAGCUCCUGCUGCAUGGUGGGGGUAGGAAAGUUUCGGCGGUUGGGGAUGGACUCGCGGCUUAUCAGCUUGUUGGUGGGGUAGUGGCUUACCAAGGCUUUGACGGGUAGCCGGCCUGAGAGGGUGACCGGCCACAUUGGGACUGAGAUACGGGCGAGACUCCUACGGGAGGCAGCAGUGGGGAAUAUUGCACAAUGGGCGGAAGCCUGAUGCAGCAACGCCGCGUGCGGGAUGACAGCCUUCGGGUUGUAAACCGCUUUCGCCUGUGGCGAAGCGUGAGUGACGGUAAUGGGUAAAGAAGCACCGGCUAGCUACGUG